GGGAAAGUGUUCCCAGAGCUUGCCUUGGUAAUCACUUCUAGUACUUAGCAACUUUCCCUGGCAGAGAGUUCCUCUUCAUAGGAUCAAAAUCCACAAGUUAAGUUCGGGUAUUUCUCCAUGGCAGUGAGGACACACAACACAGCCUUGAGCGGUCCUUGAUUUCCUCGCCGAUGAAGUGCCUGCUUGCACCCUGGUAUCAUGGUAUUCUAUCUGGGCUACUCUCUAAUGUGCCCAUCCUAGGGCCAUGAAUAGAAGAGCUCUUCAAAGAGCACCUGCACAACUAUACCGGCAGUGGACAAAAGAGGCACAUGUUCCCCUUGGUGAUCUCAGAAGGCACCUGCAGCAAAUUCAACUGAACUCAAGCCCAUCUAUUUCUAUUAUCCUGAAGGCCUUGGUGUCCAUGGGACAAGCUGUACUUCCAUCAUCUUCAGACCUGGAAUUCGCUCUGCCCAAAAAUAUUUAUUUUGUUAAAGCAAACUGGAGGAUUCACAAGUUCGCGCAGACAGGAGGUGUCUGUUUUUGCCAAGAAUGCUCCUUUCAUUUUAAGGACAUUGUUUCAGGCACCAGAAAUAUAAAUGACGGAGAAGCUGAGUGCCGGUCUGCAUGGUUCCAUUGGGUCUAGGCUGUCGCUGGACACUAAGCAAGGAACAAGAAGCUGAGAAAUUUAGUAACCCUUCCCAGUCAAAAGGUGGCUGCAAAGAAGAGUUCAGCUCAAGAAGACUGGAAGUUUAGAACUGUCCUGCUUAUUCUGUUUGACGGCUGUGUGAUUUUGGCAUGAAAAAGUUAGGAUUCAAGCCGCAAUUCAAUGGUCAAAAAAAUAAAGACGGAAAAUCAAACA
rnacentral:lncRNA from 1 species